ACGGCGCCAUGUACGGCUGCGUCGUCGCCUCACAGGUCGUGAAAUGGCGCCGGGGGCCCAGCCGGCCACGGCCCCUUGAGUUCCUUGUUUUUGUUUUUGUUUCUCUGCUUGUGUUUUAAUGAAGCUCACGGAUUUGAGUAGAAACAGAUUUCUCACAAACUUGCUUCUCUCCGGCUCGAUUUCACAGCUCGGCAUACAUUUGGGCUGUCUCAGGCUUGACAGCGUUCCAGGGAAAAUACUAACUGUAAACUUUGCAAGGAGAAUUAAAGGAGCAGGCAGAAAUGUCAGGAGGGUGUCCUCCCUUCACAAAGCACAGGCAUCUGCACCGAAGGCUUCCAGUAAGGUCCUACCUCUGCAGGGCACAGCGGGAAGGAAGGAAAAAUAGAUAAUUCCCCUUUGGCCGAAGGCAUGAAGGAGCUCUCUUCCUCUCAGGCCUGACCAGUUGAACAUUGCACACUCUGGUGUAUAAAUAUUUGCCUCUGGCUGAAGUUCAAGCCCUAUGUGGCUGCCAGACACAACAGAAAACCAACAUUCAAGGGAAAGUGUUUACUGCGGUGAUGGCCAAAGGAACAACAGCCAACAAAUGAGCACAUCUGAUUGGCCAGGCCUGCCUAUGGCAAUAUCAGAAAGCACCAGGCCACUAGCCACUGACCACUGGGGUAUUCCUACCCCUUCAGGAAAGGCUACGUUCUUUAAUACAAGACCAGAAGACUUGCUGGUGGUUUCCCAUGUGUUCCUCCAGAGCAAGCAGCCCAAAUAAUCCUAAACCAUGCUCUUAACUCUUACCACUCCAGCAAAACAAGUGGAUGCUUCUUCAAGUUACCCAACCUCUGAGUAACCAGGCCUAAUCCAGGUGCUCUUGUGCAUCCCUCUUUUUUGUGAUGGAGCACCACCUCUCAAGUAAUGGGCAACACUCGGCAUCUCAGCUGACCUUCGUGACUUUUAAAGCAUCCCUGCCUGCUUGAUGAUCUAGGAGACGUGGGCAGAGCAAAUAACCAUGGACCCACAGAAGAUAGAUGAGCUUUGGUGAGGUGCGGUACACCAGCUCAUACUGAAGGAAGAGAUGAAUGGCGCCUAGAGAGCUGAUUUACUGUCUGAAGAUAAAGUCUCCUAUAGAUCUUCAUUAAGAUAAUGCUAACUUCCCAAGGUUGAUUUGCAAGAGUGGCUGCUGCAUGGGACAAAAGACAAAAAAAAAUAAUAAAGUUUGCAAAUGUCAAGGCCUUACGGGGCCAGUGCUGAGAUGGUUUAUCAAAGCCCCUCUUCAUUCACAGUGGCUCAGGGGAGUCGGGAUAUCUUAAAAAGAGGAUAUAUAUAUAUAGACAUAGAUAUAGAUAUAUACACUACAUGAUAUGCCAACUAAUUUAAUUUCUCUCUCUUACUAUAAGCACUAUGCAAAAUAGUGUUCGAGCAUUUAUGGUAACAUCGAGAUAUUUGCCUACCAUUUAUUUGCCUACUAUUUAUUUGAGAUAUCAUCAGAACAUCGACAGGUACACAACCCUUACAUUAUUAUGAUGCUGUUUGUUGUGAGUUCACAGAAGUACAUUCCAGUUUAUAUAUCCCCAAGGAUUGUUAGAGUUUCUUACAAAGGAUAGACAAGUUUUUGUUCUGACAAAUGAAGAAUGAAUAUAACAUGAGAAGCUAUAAAACUAACAUCUCUUAGAUAUGUGGAGUACCCUGGGGUAAAAAAAAAAAUGUCCUUUUCCAUUUACUAAUUGAUACUUGCCUCUCUUCAUCCUAUAAAGGUCAAUAUUCAAUUUAAAAAAAUGUUUUACAAAACAAAAAUGGUAAAAUUUAUAAUGAAGAGAAAAUGAACACACAUUUCAGUUGUGCUGACAUAGCCCUGGCUGAGAUUUUUCUGUGUGGAUUCUGGCCUCCCUCUUCAGUAAAUGUAGCCUGAGGCACAGCUGCCUUGCUGUGUGCUACAUAGGCCAGACCCUCUAUCCACUUCCAUUCCAGCCAAGCCUUUGACACUAGAUUCCCACUUGUGUAUUGACAUCUAAGACUAGUACAACUUAAGGACUAGAGAGAUAGCUCAUUCAGGACCUGGUUUGGAAUCUCUAGUACCCAUGGAAAACUUGGGUAGGGCCUGCCUGUUACCUCAGCACUGAGACCACAGAGACAGGAUUCCUGGAGCUCAGUAGCCAGCCAGUCUAGUCAACCCACAAGCUCUGGGUUCAGUCAGAGACUCUUCUUCAAAAACAAAGGUGGAUAUAGAUAGCAAUUAAGGAAAACACCUGACAUUUACCUAUGCUCCCCCCCCCCCCAAAACCCUGGAGGGAAUACAUACACACACAAGUGAGGCAUAUCCACAUGUUCGUGUAUACACACAUAUACUACACACACAAAAACAAAUAAAAAGGAAAACAACUAAGUUAGGUUUUAAACUGUGCUUUUAAUUCUGUCAGAAAUCAGCUGGUGACUGUCAUUUUUUUUCCCUCUCCAUUGGACUGUGGGCUUCUCAAUAGCGGAAAUAUGACUAAUACAGAACUUAACACACAUGAGUGUCAAAAUGCUGAAUGACUAAGUGAGAAAAUGACUAGUGAAGUAACUAUAAAGGAAGAGGCGGCCGAAGCAGGUACAGAAGAUGGCCAACAACAUGUGAUCCUCUCUGACAUCACUCAGGUAGACUAGAACCCAUGGCUAGCAAACGCACAAGCCCCGCCUCCCACAUUAUUCCUUCCUGUGCUGCAGGGUUAGUGUUUUGUUUUUGUGUUUUGCUUUGUAGUUGUUCAGGAAAUAAGGGAAGAAUAGCAGGUCCCCAGGGUUUACAAGAGUCAUGAGUAGCCGGUGCUGUCCCCUAAGAGUCGGCUCUAAUGAUAUCCCCCCACUUACCCUACUAUGCCUCUCAAAAUCUUAAAAUCAUAAUAAACUCCAGAACCAAGUAAUCUCAGUUUAAAAAGCAACUACAGAUAAUGUUUGGUGAUUGGUUCUGUAAUGUGAUAAAAUUUACAGUGUGUUUUUUAAGUCAUUUAACUGGAGCUGGGAAGGAGGCCACACACCAAUAACACAGUGCAGCUGCAGAGCUGCAGAGGGUCCUCCCCACCGCAUGCCACAACGUUCUCAAAGACUGAAUCAUGUCUGGUUGGGUCCUGUCAAAAGUUUACUCAUGGAUCUCAGCUGUCACAACCUAAAACAUGACUUUAGCUUCAGGGCGUGUGGUCUAGCAAAAGCCAAGAUCUCAGUUCUCCAUCCUGCUCUAAGAACCAGACUCCCCUGAAUUUCUGGUCCCUGAUUUAUCUGCUUAUUGGUAGGUGGUUUUUGUUAUUAUUGCUCUUUUGGGGAUUGCUGGGUUUUUGUUUUUUUGUUUGUUGGUUGGUUUGACUUUUGUUUUCUGUUUGCUUUUGGUUUCUUUUUCUUUUCUUUUCUUCUUUCUUUCUUUCUUUCUUUCUUUCUUUCUUUCUUUCUUUCUUUCUUUCUUCCUUCUUUUUUUUUUUUUGAAACCUUAUUGUUUUGUUUUCUCCAUUGCUGAGAACAUAACUGGGUAGCACCUAGAAAGUGCUCUACCACUGAGCUCCAUCACCAGCCAGUCCCUUUCUGCUCUUCCAUUUCACUGUAUGGUAUCACGACAACAGGAAGGCCGCUUCUGUUUUUCUCAGGUUUCUAAAGUGAACAUCACAUUCUGGGCUGGUGGCUGGUUUUGGACCCCUGAGGAGCAGAUUCACUUAUUCAAGUCUUCCCUCCCUAACCCAAUGCUGGAUGAAACAGGAGCAUCGAAUUCUUCUAAACUCUAUAGUACACCCUCUCUCUGCUCCUUUCACCGAUUCAUAAUUGGAUGUGGAAUUCCCCAACCUAUUUCAUCAAAAGUCCAUUUCAUUUCAAAACCACGUGGAAAGCAAAAGAAACCAUCUGCUUUGUGAAGCGUCAGCACACACAAGGCUUUCAGGGCAGGUAGUGGUGUGUGGGAAAGGCCUUCACAACAGCUUUGCAUGCUACCCUGGCCUGCUGAGGGUGCAUGUGUUUCACAACCACCAGGGAAGGCUGGGAACAGACCCAGGGCAGGGUUUCUGUUACUACAUUUAGCUAUUGCCUCUCCAUCUGCAAAAUGCCCUCACCUCGUAACUCAACUCUUCUUUUAGCUCUCACACGUGAGGGGAAGAGAGUCAAGAUGGAUGGAAGCAGAGCAAUAAUGCAAUAGCAGUGCCUCAGGCUGAGACCAAAUCCAGUGCUCUCAUCAGCUCUGGCCUGAUUCCUGUCUCUGCUGGCUCAUCCCUAAUACAGAAUACUUUACUGAGAAUGCACCGAGAACUGGUUGCUAUGUCAUGAAAUUCAUGUGUCAACUUCACCAAUUCCCUAAGGUACCAUCUUUAGACCAGCUUCAGAGAAAGGAAACCAAGCCUGAAAAAAGAGCUGCCUGCCCCAAACUGAACAGUCAGAAAGUGACAUGGCUGGGUUAUCUGGCUAUGACUCUGACAUCCUCUUUGGAACAUCAUGACACCCAGCUCAGAAAGGUAAGAGGAAGGAAAUGAAGGGCAAUCAGAAAGAGUGAGUGGUAAGGGACAGCCUGGGAAUGAAUAAAAUGGAUCCUUGCUCUCCUCUCCUGUGGGUAGAUUUCAGGUCUCUAUAGGAGAACAAAGGCCCUCUACUCUGGGGAAAAUAUACAGACUGAAACUUCCAUUCAUUUGUAAAUGUGCACCUUCCAAAGAAUUCCCAUACAACUUGUCUGUGUGUCAUCUUUGCCACAAAACCUGUUGUGGUCAGAGAAAAGAAGAGAAAUCGCAGGCGUGGAGUCAAGAUCUUGCCCCAUCACACUCGUGGUGGGUAAGGAGUACAGGAGGCCAGCACACCUCCCUCUCAGCUGUCCUUUAGCUUCCUUUUCCUGAACCAACAGCUUCUUUCCUAAAUGAGCAACAAAAGCUCUGGGCCAGCAUCAAACCUCAGGGGCUCUGGCCUCUGUCAUUUAGUAGCUGUGAAGCCUUGAACAGGAUUUACAGGCACUUGGGCUACAGGUCCCUCAUCUCUCAUUUGGAGGUAACAGUACCUAUUCUCUCUAUUACAUGGUGUUGUCAGAAAAAUCAAACGAGAAAAUGGAUGUGAAGAGUCCCUUUGAAAACUGCAAAUACUAUACGAAUAUAAAGGAUUAUUAUUUUUUGGGUCCAAUAAAACUUUCUCAGUUGAAUGAGCCCUGUGUAGAUGGAUGGUCAAGUUUUAAUAACCAAGAAAAACGCUCCGAUUCUUGAAACAAUUUACAGAGCUACUCACUCCCAGUAAAGGACACUGGUUAUAAAAUGACUUAAAUCAGCACUCUCUGCCAUCUUCUAGACAUAAAUUGUUACUGGCUGAGGAUAGGUAGCAAAAUGGCUAUUUUCAAGACACACAGCCUUUGACUAUAAAAUGCUGAUCUUCCCUAGUCUAGAACAUGGAACAUGGAGCAAGGUAGGAAAACAAAGGCUACUGGUAUUUAAAGAAUGGGUGCCCUUAUCUCCACAGUGCCCAGGAGACUACAAAUGCUCAAACCAGAUUCUCAUUAAAUAUUUCAAGGAUGUUAGUCAGAGCCAGAUCAACUCUGUUAUGCACCAACAGGCUGGCUUUAUCCUCAAACCAAUCAUAAAUAAACUUCUAAAUACAGCCUGUUCAAAACACGUAUUUCAAAAAGUAUUACCAACCUUUAUGCAAUCUGUCACUAGCAUGUACCAAAUUCAUUUAAAGCUACCUUCUGUAGAGAUGAGCCACACUCUUGCGGCCACUUGUAUUUGGAAUAGAGGUUCAUACAGUAUUAUUUUUAAUAACGUCUAACGUUAUUCCUUUCUCUUUAGGAGACAGAAAUUCACUGCCAAACACACUGCUUCCAUUCACAAGAUUAUUUAUGGCAGAGAUAAUUGAAUUCUGGUCACAUGACUAAGGAAGACUAGGUUGAGAGUGGAAAGAACCCAACCAUAAUUUCUAGAGAGAUCCAUAAAUCACUGCUUUCUUCCCCUGGAGGUUGAAGUCCUCAGAGCUCUAUGGAUUCUUCCCUGGCAUUUAUCCCCAGUUGGGAAACAUCACUGAAAUUCCUUUCUAUGUUCAGUGGCAAAACUCUUAAGGUAGAUACACUGAAAUUACUCUCUAUAUUGGUCUUUGAGAAUGCCAAUGGGGCUCAGAGGAAAUCCCACCCUUUUCCAUAGGCCAAAUGUUCCUGUCUCUCUUACAAGCAGUUUGAAGAGCAAAUCAGAAUUAAGUGUACAAGCCUAUUCCAGUACUCUCUUUCCCCCUAACAAAAUGAGCCACCUUCCAGAAGCACAUGACAAGCACAGCACGACAGACACGGUAGCCAUAGGUGGCAAAGUCUCGUGAUCGUUCUCACAUCUAUCAGCAGUAUUCAGCCAUUCCUUAAAGAAGAUAGACUCAAAGCCCGCCCUAAACAAGGAAUUUCUCCCUGUUUGUCCACUCUGUGUUCUACCAGACUUGGGACUUGAAUGAUUCAAUCUGCUUGCAUUACAGAUAGCAUUUAUAGAUCUUUGCACUUCUUGGCUAAGUCUAAGAAGUUACUAAGCUGCUUGGUUACUUUCAAAAUAUCUUCAGCUUAUUCUCAAAAUACAAAUGCAAGGAAUGUUGUCCAGCUACAAGGUAUAUAGGAAAUAUGCUUCUUGCCUGAGGAAAUGAUUUCUUAAAUAGAUCACAUUUCCAUUUGCUUGGCCUCUUAAUUCAAGUAGAUGGGUAAACAGUACCAUCCUAUACGUUUUAGUCUGGAAUAAUUUUAGCAUUUUAAAAUUUCUCUAGUUUUUUUUUUAAUUUAUGUUUCCGAGAAUAUAAUAAUUAGAAUUUUAUAAAAGACCAUGAAUGAGAGAAAGUGGAGGAGUAAGCAAAUAUUCCAUGGUUCCAGCAUCAACAGCUAUGAGACCAAACAGCCAAGCGUUUGAGUGUGCAUGCCAGUGGAGAGCAGCGUGCACAUCAUUCCCGUUUGACCAUAGGCAGAAGCACAUAAAGUAGCAUGGACACCGUCUUCUAUAAGCUCCCGUCCUUUUCUAUUGAGGAAACAAUCUCUCUCUCCCGUCCUCUCUCUUAAACAAACUAAGAGACCUGUCACUGUCUUAUUAAUAAAAGAAAGUCUGUUCCUUUAAAGGCUCGGCAAACCCUGACACCUUUGCCAGUGCUCCAUCCAUGAGGCUAGGUCAGCCUUGUGACGAGUAUCCACCCAUCAAGGCGGCAGUGAGAGUAAUAUUUGCUCGUUGCAGACCAUCUCCUAAGGUUCCUACCACAGCCAUGAAGAAGAGUUUUGCCAGAAAGAAAUAUGUGGUGCACGCAUCCUGUAGUUAUCAGAAGGAUCAGUGGAGAAAGACUUUACCCAGAGGCAAAAGCGCACUAAUCCUUAACAUCUCAAAACCUUACAAUAUCUGCAGUGCUGGGAAAUGACUAAUACUGGGUGCCUGCCUAGGCCUUUACUAGCAAUGUAAGUUUCUGGCCCAAUCUUACAACAUCAGCCUUGGCUAUAACUUGCCCAGGUGCACCACAGCAGCCAGGAGUCUAACCUAGGCUUUCCUCUACGCCUACGUUCACAGCUGUCUCUCCUCCUCCCCACCAGGCAAAUGAUUCUGAACCGCCAUGAACUCGUCAAGCAAUGUACCUCCACUUAAUCAAGCCUUUAGGGAGAUCACUCAACUUCUUUUGGGUCAGAGGUGCCUUUGAAUACCCAAUGAGAAUGACAGUUGAUAGUACUAGAGACUGUGUGAAUGAGUUCUCCAAGAUAGCUCUAUGGGUCCAGAUGAGGACUCCACCAGACUGUGUACAGGUUCUCUGCACAGUUCAGAUUGGCUAUCUACGUCAUUUGUGACCAUGCCUUCCAAGAGACAGGCAGGACAAACACCCAAAUCCUAGAGAGCGAGAAAGGCCAAGUUCACAGUGUCACAGCAAAUGGAACUAAGGAGCUGUGAGCCAGAACAAACUCUUUCUCCCUUAGGUUGCUUUGUUCUUUGUCAUCGCAACAGCUACAGGAAUGGAGCUCACCUGGAAUACAAGGCAGAGGACUACAGAGCCCAACCAGACAGAAAUGGUGGAGCCCUUCUCACAUUCAGUUGAGCCCACAGAAACAUCAGGAAGAGCUGGCUGUUACAAUACAGGCUGAAGUACAAAUGAAUUCUCCAGAGAGAAAUGGGGGUGGCAGUAAGGAGGAGCACUCCUGGAGGGAGGCUGCAGGAGGGGGUAAGAAUAGGGUCUCAGAGACCCUAUUUAACUAAAGCUAAGAACACUGGGAGCUGAGGGGACACUAAAUAUUUAGAAUCCUCUAGUGUGUGCUUAUUGCACAACUAAAGAGAUCAAGCAGCAGGUCUUCUGUGUUGUUUUUUAGUUUGUAGUAGCUGGAGUGGGGAUUUAGAUUGUCUUCUAAAAGCUUUUAAGAUCUCCUGAAAUUAUUAAUUUGGUGGGGAGGACUUUAGGGAGGAACCAGCUAAACUUUACAAGUAAAGAUCCCUUUAACCAGAGCCAGGGAGAAGUUUAACAAGUUAUUUGUGCACUUGGGCUUCCCACAAAUAGAGGCCUGAUAUUGGGAGUUAACCCUGCUCAGCUUUCUCUGUUUUAUGUAGCUGCAUCUUCUCUCCACCAGAAUUGUGAUAAGAUAGUCUGUGUUCUAAACAAACUGGGGACUUUCCGUGAGCAAAGGAAGCCAGUCUUGUUGUGAAAAAGAAAAUACUGAUAAGUUGGUGAAUGGAAAAUAUUCAACAGUGAUUCAUAAUUACACACACAACCAAAAAAAAAACCAGACCUCUACUCCAUGUUGAAAGCUCCACAAUGGUCACGAGUAAGUUUUCAAAACUUAACCUUAGAAGACACAUAACCUCCGCCCAGGAAGCGUGGAGUGGUGCAGGGUUUUCCAGACAUAGUGCUACUUGUGAGAACUGUUUACUGAACAUCUUCAAGAAUCAAGGUCCUAAGAACAUGUUGCUGCCCAUAAUCUCCACAAGUCUCUUGUUUGAGGAAAUAAAUCUAUUCUAAAUAAAGGCUCAGAUGGCUGUGUAUUUAGCAUGAGUUCAUGUUUAAAUAACACUCACUUUAUUUCUCCAUCACUGAAAUAAAAGGGCACUUUACUGCAGGAUUUUCCAUAUCAGAACUAUUACCUUUUCAGUUUGAUUUCUUAAUUCACACCUAGAGUAUACAUGUACACACCGAGGCAGUCCACUUGGGCAGAAGUAUAAUCGAUGCCCCUGAAAUCAGUUCCCGAGAGAAACAGCAUAAAUAUAAAUCAGUCUCAGGCUUGCACAGAGCACUGGCUCUUCAGGACCUCACUACUGGAUUUCACAGUGCUUAUUAAAUGCUUCUUUUCUUUGUUUGUAUGGAUCAGCUUCACAAGCCUGCAUGAUUGUUAGUGCCCCAAUAUUUACUAUAAAUAUGUUUAUCAAUUCUGCUUCAAAUAAAGUGCAAAUAAAGUAACAGAAAAUGGAGGAGCUAGAGAAAGUACCCAAGGAGCUGAAGGGGUCUGCAACCCUAUAGGUGGAACAAUAAUAUGAACUAACCAGUACCCCCUGGAGCUCGUGUCUCUAGCUGCAUAUGUAUCAAAAGAUGGCCUAGUCGGCCAUCAGUGGAAAGAGAGGCCCACUGGUCGUGCAAACUAUAUGCCUCAGUAUAGGGGAAUGCCAGGGCCAAGAAGUGGGAGUGGGUGGGUCGGGAGUGGGUGGGGGAGGGUAUGGGGGACUUUUGGGAUAGCACUGGAAAUGUAAAUGAAGAAAAUACCUAAUAAAAAAAAGAAAAAAAGAGAAAGUAACAGAAAUCUCUUAUAAAGCUCUGACAGCAUUCCUUAGUACUGUGCUCAAAGUCAGACCUCUUGCCCCCCAGUGAUCCCCAUCCAAUCCAUCAAGUGUAUGUGAGAUGCCAAACAGCACAGAGCCUCAUAACCUUAUGAAGUGUACAGGAAAUGUACAAAUGCAGAGAGAAUCUGAUAGGGAAUUGAAAUAGUCUUCAUGAUUUGAACAAGGCAUACUCAGACAUCUACUGGACAAAGGAUAACUAUAACAGUCUUUCAAAAGUUUGGUGAUAGAAUAAAACCAAAGAAAACUAAACAGAUCAUAACAUCUAAGCACUACAAAUGUUUUGAUGAGACAUCACAUGCUUUGGACUCAAAAAAAAAAAAAAACAACAGCAGGAUUAAUAGUUGAAAAGUUGAUCAUUAGACUAAGAUCCUUUCAAACAAUUCCAAAUUAAUAUGUGAGGGAUUGAUUUUUAAACUCAUGUAAAUUCCAAGAGACAAUGUAGACUGGCUUAAUUAUAAUCAAUAACAUCUACAGACAUAGAUGCACCAGCAGAAACACUGCCCAGAAGCAGAGCAUAAACAUCAUUCUGUGCUCCUUUGUACAUAACAGUGAUAUGACCUUAAUAAAUAUUUCAUCCCGUUCAGUGCACAGCCAAUCAUGAAGAUAGCAAAUUUUAAUAGCUACAAAAUAUCAUAAUGACUCUACAAAGAAAAUGCCUCCUUUGGAGGAAAGCAAGCGUAUCCUAAAACCUGACUUCUAACUCCAGGUCAGUCCUUGAUGAGAAAUGAGCACACUUACCUAGCCUUCCACAUACAGAUUGAUGUAUUGCUGAAAGACAUUUCUCAGAGCACUUCCCUUACUACAGAACAUUAGAAAAGUCAUGUGGGAAAAGAAAUAAGUUUUCAAGUACAUGAGCAUUAUCUUUCUAGUGCCAGCAAAGUAAGAGCUCAAUGAAUACUCCUGGAUGGACUGUCUUCAGGGACUAGCCAGCAUCCAUGUGUCGGCACAGUCUAUAGAGGGAUGCUAAAGUUUCUUUCACCAGGUAUAAUUAACAGCACAAGCCCAUAUCCUAAAGCAUUGUUCCUUUGAUAAGUACACUAUCAUACAUACAGUUACCCACAUGUAAGUCCAUCUGCUAGUUUUCUUCUCAAUUGUUCAGUGUGGGUGGACCUUCUGGUGGAGAGGAAAUGAGUAUGGAACACAGACGGGGCAGGAUUCAAAUCUCAACUCUAAAGUGUACAAUUAGCAACUUUAGAAAGGCACUUGGCACAAAGACCCAAGAAAUUGGGCAUCAGGGCCUAGUUUAUAUAUCAUUAUGAAGACUAGAGACAGUGUUGAUACACUAAGCAUAGUGCUUUAUUGAUCAGUAUAUAUACUAGAGUAGAUGGAAAAACAAGUAUUUCCCAUGCAAGUACAUCCCUGUACUUUAGUUUUCUUCCUUGUCUAUAAAUUAUGCCUCACCAAACACCAAAUAAGUGAUUACAAUUCUACCAUAAGUUAGGUCUGAAGACGGUUCUGUACUUGCUCUUCACUGUUAUCCUGAGUAGACUGCUUGGUAUAGUGGGCUUCUUUUCACAUAUUUACCCCAUUAUAUAGUUCUAAAAGCAUUGCCUAAGCUUGGAUCUGAUAAACAUGUUUGCCUUUUCCUCUCUAUUUUGACUAUUCUAUCAUCCCAGUAUCACCAGAACCUUUACUAACUAGUUGAGCCUACCAUGUGAUUAUAUACUGUGUCCAUUGUGAAGUGCACUCACCAAACAGCCAACUCACAGACUCUACACUUGACACGCUGGUGUAUGGGGACCAACCCUAAAGGUGACCUGGAGUUCAAGUUUUAUUAACAUCCAGGUCAUGAUAACACAAAUUUAUAGCCCUGAGAAGAAGUAAUCAAGAUCAAAUUUGAGGAAUAUAUUCUUUCAAUUUAUCUACACUUGGUGACUUCCUGAGUUUGUCAAGGGCAUUAAAGAACAGCUAACUCAACAUAAGUGGCAGAAAGGUGUAAACAGAAAUAUUACGUGCAAGUAGGAGUACUCCAGUCAAACAGGUAUGGUUUCCCUUUAGUGCAGUCCUGGCUGUGAUUAAGAGUUCUUCAAAUUCCAUAGCUGUCGAGUUUAAUUAGCUAAGUAUACACUUGUUUCAUAGCAUUCCAACUACAGCCAUGCCUAGAAGUACGGUUCUAAUCAGCUUAAAAUGGCCACUUUUGUAAAGCAUCUCGGGAGAACUUCUCCGUGUUUGAGUGAAAUGUUCAGCUAAAUACAGACAAGAAAUCCUUCCAAUAGAGGUUAUAAAAUCACAUGCCAUUUAGAAUCUAAAUAUAUAUAUUUAUUUUAGGAUGAAAUAGUUAAAGAAAAAUGAAGCUUAUCCAUGGUUUAAAAAAAAAAGUAUGUUUAAGGAAAUUCAGAUGUAACAGCAAAACAGAAGACAUCAAAUGCUUUUUCCUCCGUAAUUUCUCUACUAAAACUGUAAAUAAGUUUCCAAGGAAUACAUUUACAUGACUUUCCUUUAAACUUGUUCAUUUGGGAAAGAACAAAUUCUAUAUAAUGCAAAAUAAUUUAGCCUAAAAAUAAUGCUCCGAUUGCUUCUCUCCUUUCACACCCCAAUAAUAUUUUUCUUUAUAAUAACAAAAUCUGGAGGGGGGCUUGGGUAUGUCCUGGAGGCUGCCGCUCUUUGGGUGCUGGAGCUGACUUUCGCAUUCAAUUAGUUGCAAUGUCACCAGACACUGCUCAACUACAGUGUAACAGCCAUUUGCACCUUUAUCACUGCCUCCACCAGAGAGGCUAGAAGCUAGAUAGUCACUGUCCAACUUCCCUUACAGAAACUGCAAAAGCAUUCUAGCCAGAAUGGCCCAAGAUGAAGUGGCAUCUACUGUGUAGUUUCUGGAGAAGUCUUCACUUCAUGAUAAAUGGAGCAAGUGAAGCUGGUUCAGCCAUUGCUCUGCCAUCCUGCCAUGGAGUUACGGUGGCAGCCAUACAAUGACACAAGUGUUUGGGGUGCUUUUAAUCAAGGAGAAAGGAAUGUUAGGACAUAAAAAUUAGAAAAUUGUCUGGAUUCCUGACAGAGCAGAGCAAAUAAAGCAACAAUGACUAACCUUCAGAUUCACUGUUACACAAGAAAAAAUAAUUCAUUGUUUAAACUACUGAUAAACGAAGAUUUUUCUGUUUCUUGUAGCCAGCAGUAUUCUCAAGACACAGCUGCAAUCACUUAAAGCAUUAAAACAUUGUAUAAUUCUCAUAAAAUUCUUAUUUCUAGAUUCUUCAGGGCAAAGAAACUAGGAACACUGUGCCUAGAAUUUUCACACAGCACUAAUAGAGAACACCAAACACCCAACAGUAGCAUCAGCACUAGGACAAGGGCUCCCCAUACCCAUGUCCUCACAGAGGAUCCGUGUUUGGUUCCAAGCACCCACGUGGUGGCUUACAACCCCCUGAAACUCUAGUUCCAGGAAACUUGUUCUUCUCCUUUGGCAUCCUCAGAAACCAGUCAUGCAUGUGGUAUACACUCACACAUGCAAACAACACUCAUCUACAUAAAAUAUAAAUAAGUAUUUUAGAAAUACAUACUGAGCAUCACAGAAAACAAGGCAUCACUGUAUCCAACAAAAUAUUUUUGGUUUUGCGCAAAGGAAUCCAAAUAUCCAGCAAAUAUAGCCAUGUCUGCACAUAGAGAUCUAUUUCCUUUCUCUGACUAUUGGCUUUUCAACUGGCACACUGAUUCUGGUUUUGCCUCCAAACCCUACCUACAAAGAGAAGGAAGGCACCAUGCCACCAAAGAAAGAUAUAAGUAUAGUGGGGGCGUAGGAUAAUAUCAAAAAGAUAAUAAUUAUAGUAAACACUAGUCAUUGUGACUGGAAAUCUAGUCAAUAUGCUAUAUAAAUGCCUUAUCAAUACUAUGACACCCUCUUAAAUGACCUCUUAAAAACCAACUGGUAGUUCUUGGUUUUAAAAAUAAUAUAUUUCAGCUCAGUAGAGAAUGCUUGUCUGACAUUUAAAGGACUUUGGGUUCUAUUCCCCCACCCCAAUAAAUAAAUAAUUAACUAUUGGGGAAAAGAACAGAGCUAAAUCUGCAUAGCAAUAGUCACAUAACUUGACUCUAUGAUUAUAAACACGCAAAUCUUAAUCACAUAUAUAUUCUUUGCAUAUGAGCAAAAGUACCUGAUAUUUUUGAGAAACUUUUCAUAAAGUAUCUCAGAUCCUACAUCUCAUUUCUAUGUAACUGCAUCCUAACAUAAAUAUUAGGACAAAUAUUUGAUUUUUAAUGCCUACUAAUGUAAGUCUGGAUUCCGGUAUAGGAUUUUUUUUUUUGUAAAGGCACUUCCUUCUUAAGUGUAACUGACCUGAUGCAGUAAAUUCUUGAGAUUCAAAAGUGACUCAUUUCCAAAGCUCCACACAUUAGCAGCUGGUAUUAUUCAAUCUGAGAUUUAAAUUUAUAAUGUACUCUUGAUAAUGUACUCGCAAUACAUUUUUCACUUCUCUAUCUUUUGAAUGACACUAGAUAAAAGAUCUUUAGGGUAUAAAUAUUUUAUAUAAACUUUCACUCUGUUUUUCUCCAGCCAUUUGCCAUUUGCAAACACUAGACAUCAUGCAAAAAAAAUAAUAAAGGUUAAGAGAGUUAUGGAUUGUGUCAGGGGAGGGGGGCGAAUGAGAAGUGCUACUAUAUUCUGCUGUGGCAGCAGACACUACAGACACCUAAUACAGCCCUACUGGCUAACAAGAUGGCCCACCCUAAAUAGUGCCUGCUUGUAAGAGCUGUUUUUCCUUGCAGUGGGCAGUAGACAGUAACUGAAUGAUUUUCCACCACCAUCUUUUGUGCUACCUUAGGACAUUGUCAGUGACUCUGGGACCUGUGCUGGAUUAAUUUCCAGAACCCUAGGGAUACAGCCAUCUCACCUGAGUGGCCACAGAAGAUUUCAGAACACCUAGGUCAACUCUUUGUAUUUGAAAACCAUGAAGAGUUGAACCACCCAAAAUCUCCUGGGAGAUUUCUGAACUGUCCUCACAGACUGUUCCAGGUCUUGUUCCAGGAAGCGUGGAACCCUGGAGUCCUCCGUUUACUCCAGAAACUAGUCUCAGGCUCCAGACAUGAGUGCAUCAGAGGCUGCAGAAAACAAGGCUUCCAGAGACUUCCCACUCGACUUUCUCUGGGAGAAAAAAAAACAACAAAAAACAAAAAACAAAAAACAAAAAAAACAGGAAGCCCCAAACUCACAGAUAUCCAGGGCCUCUGGACCUUUGUAACACAUACAGCCUUCCAUGAACAUGGUUCUGAAGAAGACACUCCUGUUUACAGAUGAUAUGGAAUGCUAGGUAAAAUCCUUUAGAAGGGCUCUAGCAAAUGCAGAACUCUAUGAUUAUAAAUUUGCAAAGCUGUUUACAUUUACCGCUUUAAUGACUUAUUUUUUUACAUUUUGGAGAGAAAUCUGUAAUUUUGUUACUAAUAUUCUGGUCUGCAGAAAUGUAAUUUAAUCUUUUUUCCUGUCAUAUCACUAAGAACACAAAAUACUAUCAAAGUGUCCCAGUGCAGUAAGCACUCAAACUCUUGAGGAAUUUAAGUGUAUCGGACUUAUGAACAAAAUAUAUACAAAUAUACACACAUAUAUGAUCUAACUACCUAUCUAUAGAUUCUCAAGCUAUGAUCAAACCUCAGCUGCUCUCACCGUGUGUUCAAGUGCCACUGCUGUCAGCUAUCAGAUCACACAUCUCAUAUCUUUCUAUUUUCCAGACUGAGAUAACUGUCUGCUCUGGCUAUUUGCGACUCUGGGAUAAAAAUUCAGAGUUCUAUCUAGAACAGAAAAGAUUAUAGACUUCAAGGGUCUACCCUGUGCAUGAAGACUAUGCUUGCACUUUUUCUAAAUUUAUUCAGACAAGUAGAAAUUGGCCCUCAAUAUAUAUAUACACACACAUAUACAUAUACACAUACACACAUACACACACACAUACACAUAUACACACACACACACACUCGUGUUUAGAUAUACUUCUGAAUGUAAAAACAAAAUUGUGACUCAUGAAGUGUAUUUGCAAGGGGAUAUGUGCAUUUUACUUCCUCAGCCCCCAUCUCCACAGAUGGAAAUAGAUUUUGAUAGUCUGUGAAGGCAUUUGAAAACUCCAAGGAAUGUGAGCUGGUGCAGCCGCCAGGAAACAGGGGGUUGAUGAGGAAGAUGGCGGCGAAGCUCCCGCAUCUGGAGAGUUUGUGCAGGGCCCCAAAGCUGAGACACACCAGAAAUACUUGGCCAAGGAGAGUGUGGCCCUAAGGUUCAGAAAAGGAAGUCUUUUUUUUAUUAGAUAUUUUCUUUAUUUACAUUUCAAAUGCUAUCCCAAAAGUUCCCUAUACCCUCCCCCCACCCUGCUCCCCAACCCACCCACUCCCACUUCUUGGCCCUGGCAUUCCCCUGUACUGGGGCAUAGAAGGAAGUCUCUGCUCCCCCCUGCAAACUCAGCUCUCUGGGCCACACACCCGGUGUGACACACCAAAAGAAUGCUUGGCUGCCCUCUCUGAGGUCUUGUGCACUGGGAAGAGUCUCCAGAUCAUGGAACUGGGCACAGCCCUGGUGAAGCAGGCAGAAACAAGGCAUAAAUAUCCUAGUUGUAAGUUGUAUGGCACUGCAGCCUGAGUCUGGAAAUAGAGCUUAAUUCAGAAUCCCACAAACUCUCUUUACAAAGCACAGUGCUGGGAGCCACCUCCCUACCAUUGCCCUUCCAUACCCGGGAAGGGGCUUGGGACACGCAUCUCCAGAAGAUUUCCAAAUGCCAGAGCUGUGCUGCUUUUGCCAUGACACGGUGAGAACUGCUACCUGAGGUCACCUCAGAGAUGAGACAAGAGGGAAACAAAGGGUCCUAAUGAUUUGGUCAAAAAUAUAAAUCCUCUACCAGGAAGAGGGAUUCUAGAUGCUCUCUCUCCCUCCCAGCAUGGGACACUUCCCAAUCCAGAGUAGCUCAUGCUGAUUUGAUGAAGGCAUCUGAGAAAUACUGUCAUCUACCAAGAUCCUGGCUGCCAUGUACUUUCACAGCAUUUUAGGAUUUCAUCUACCUUGCCUAGUUUUAUUCCCUUAACAACCCAUUGAGAUAGGCAGAACAAAGAGAUAAUCAACUUCUCCACUUCAAAGAUUAGAAAGCUGAGGUGCUGGGGUGUUACAAGCCAGAGAGAAGUGUACAGAGGGAACGACCUGCAGCUGGCAGACCCCUGAUUCCAAGGUGAGCCUGGAAAGGAUGCCAUCAACUUGCAAGUUUCAACUUUCAAAGUAUGCUCAACAUCACACUUUGAUUUGGCUUCCACCAUGACCCAAUUAAGUAGUUAAUUCUCACAUGUAAGAAUGCUUACAAUGUUUUGUCCUUGAAAGCAUCUUUCUGGGUUAGGGUUACCUUUAAUGCCAGUCUUGGUAAGUCGGUUGCCAUUUCCUUGACUAGAGCAUAUAGGGUCCUGACAUGAUUCCUCUGAGAGGAAGAUGGGGAAGAAAAACAAGACAGUGAGCAAUGGAUUCAAUUAGUUACAGUAUAAUUCUAGCAAGAUGAGAAAGAUCAGACACAAGGCAACUACUUCCGGGUGGCUAGUAAGUUCAGGCAGGCACAGAACAAGAUGCUCUGAAGACACCUGGGCAAAUAAACCACAAUAAAUGGGCAGCUCACAGGCAAAGUAUUUAAACAGUGCUGGGAUGUGCAGGCAGGAAGACAACUGUACUUCUUCAUACACACGAAGUCUUAUACAGACCCAUUUCUCUAAUGAAGCCCUCACUACAGGGCAACCAGAGAUUAACCCUAUGGUUACUGGAAGCUUUGAAACCUGUAUAGGGAUUUUCUUUCUACAACUUCUCAAAUGAAUUAAGAUUCUUUGCUAAACAGAAACCAGAAUGCAGAUCUAGUACACUUGUGAAAAGCUGAUUAUUUGAGCUGGACAAAAUAUAAAUUCCAAGUAUUUCUUUCAAAAUAUAUUAAUCCAAAGCAGGCAGUUUGUAGUAAAUACAAAAGCCAAUGCAUGGGGAUUUAGGUUGUUUGUUUCUUUGAGCAAUUUCAGAACUUCUUUGUGCAAAUAAAUGAUUAGGUAAUCAGGGUUAUAAGAUUCCAAUCGUUAAAAUUAAUGUUCAAGACACAGAGGCAACUAUUUCUCACAUCUGAGUAGACCAGUAUGUUAAGUAGAACUCUCUGCAGUGCAAACAGUUUUUAAAGAAACGUGAGUUUCUAUUAAAAAACAAAACAAAAAAACCAUAUUUUUCUAGUUGAAAACUAGAAAUGUGGUUGGGCUUAAGGGUGUUGCUCAGGAGUAGUAGGCUUGCCCAGAAUUCUGUGGUGGGCACACCACCACCACUACUACCACCACCACCACAGUAAUAAUUAAUAAUAAUAAUAAUAAUAAUAAUGUGGCUAAUUAAUAAAGCUGGUAAGUGAUUAGCAGAACCCACACUCUUAAUCUUACUACUCUGGAAGACAAGAAGGCUUUUCUGUCAUGAGCCUGUAGUCUCAUUGCUUAAGAAAGAUCAGCUCUUAUGGCCAGUGAUUCCCCUGCCUCAGCUGAGCUAAUCUGUCACAGACACAUCUUUAAUUUUCCUUUUAUUUCUCUGUAAGAUACACAAAGCUGUUAGCGGUUUAUUCCUCUGAAACCUGGGGAUUCGUGUAAAUAACUUUUAACAUGGUAUCUCAGAGAACAAUUUACAGAGCACUGUGGCAUAAUGUAAUUCAAAGUUGUGCUUGAUUUAAAAUGUUUAAAGUCCAACCACAGUGUCAGCGUGACCAGAGAAAUCUCUUACAGAGUUUCACCCUCGGCUGGGUUAAGAGACAGUGGGUAUUAAUCCUAUGGCUUCUUCACCAAGCUUCCUUUUUGUGGUCAGCAGAGAGGCUAUGUGGUUGGUCUGAAGGAGUCCAAAGUCUUUUUUCUGUGUUAAAACAAGGGAAAGUGGGCCGCUGACAGAGUGAAAGAAAAACCACAGCCGGCCCACUCUGCUGCAGCGUUCCCCUUAAAUGUGGCCUCAAGCUAUUCUGCUUUCCAAAAAAAGGUUUAAUUUAAACCAUACACAGGGCUGUGGGCUGCCACGUUUCCAAACUCAACAUUCCUCUCAAAUCUGUGCUCUUCAGAACCAGAGUCCAUUCUACUCAGACAUGCUUUAAUAAAUAAAAUAUCACUGCCCAGCCAUUACUUAAUUUGAUAAUAAUAUGCCCUUUCCCCUGCCUCUAUUGGCAGUAUUCUAAGUGCUUAUUCAAGUGUCUUGGAUGGCUGUAAACAUCACCUGUAAAAUCCAGUUGUGUUCUCUUUUGGGAAGCAGAGGAAAGGCAAGAAAGGACAACAAUGUGAGGGAACGUAGGGAUAUUUAUUAGCAAGUCGCCCAGAGCCCAUGAAAACCACCAUGAUGCAAAGCAACUAUGUGAGUCUCAACGAGCUUAGUGCAUUUAUUUUAUUUUUUAAAGAAAACCAAAACAAUCUCGUUUGCCUAUUCCUUUGACAUCAGAAUCUAGUCUAUCUUUCCAAAUACCACCAGGAGAGAUACCAGUCACCAGCGCUGAAAGCCACACAAGCCACAUGCCCAAGACAAGUCCCAGCGGGAUCAGUGUGGCUGAUCACCAGGCUGACCAUGGUGAACGGGGUGAAUGCUCCCCAGUUGGGGAGCUUUAAAUUUUUGCCUCCGUGUAUUCACUUGUACGUUCAUUAAGAACUGCAGCCCCAGCAGGCAGCCCAGCCCAGGGUUUUCUAUGUGAGCUACCGUGCUCUAUUAUACAUGACACUUGUCAAUUAAAGAGGAAACCCUUUUAAAGCAAACUGAAGUUAAGCUGGUACUUUCUUCAACAUCUGAUUUACCGCUGCUGUUAUCGUCCAAAGGGAAGUUUGUUUUAGAACAAUGAUAGCAGCCGUAAUCCCCCCAUUUUAGUAGUGAGGGAUUUAAACACAUUCAAGGCACUGGGGACCGGUCAAAAGGCUCCUUUCAGCAGAACUAUGUAUUUUCAGUGGCAAAAAGGACGGUCUCAUGAUGGGAUAACUGCCAACAGUGGACAAUGUUUUAGCCUAACGGUUAAGAGAAUAUCAUUUUAAACUACCUGGUAUAAUACAAACGUGGCACAAUAGAUCAAUGCAAUGAAUCCUCUGUAGUCCCUAAAACGCUCUCCCAAAUAAUGGAAUCCAUUAAUAAUGAUUAUAGUUUCAGAGCUUUUGCCACAAAAGUAAUGCCCAGUGCUACAUCUCGACGGUCUCUAAUAAAUACAUACAAGUCCUGCAAAAGGAGCAAAAUCAUAACAGAGCAGCUGAGUAGAGAUUCCAUUGAGCACGAAAUUUAAAAGCCUACAGGUUAGCUCUAUUCAAAUCUGAUCUUUUUUUUUUCUGGCCAAAGGCAUGGUUUUUAUUUGUAAAAUGGGACUUGGACCAGGUGACAUCUCAGAAUCUUUCCAGCUCUGGUUCCUCGGGGGCUUAAAGUUUUUGCUAAUGUUAUGAUUCAUAAUGAAGUUACUUUAAUUUUAGUUAUAAUUAUUCAAUUUAUUCACUUAUUAUUUAUUUAUUGUGUAUGUGUUUUAUGUGUCUUCAUGUGCAGACAGGCAGGCCAUAGCAAAUGUGUGGCAGUUGGAGGAUUUUAAGGAAAUCUAUUUUAAGGAACUUUAAAGAAUCUAUUCUUUCCUUCCACCAUGUAGGACCAGAGGGUUGAACUAGGGUCAUUAGGCUUGGCAGCAAGUGCCUAUCUCUGCCGAUCCAUCUUGCCAGUCCAACAGUCACAUUCAUACUUUUACUAGCAUGAAAUAACAGAGGAUGGCAGCAUGGUCCAUGAGAUUUCUGCAAUGAAACUUUGAGACUGGUCUGAGGGAAGAAAACUUUAGAGAAACAGUCAUGUCAUUAUAUUAGAUCUAGGUCUUAGCAUGUUUUCAGAAACAUGGAAAGCAAUACAUCUGGGACCUUUGAUGGCAAAUAAGAAAGUACCACAAUAGAACCUCCUGGAAACAUGGGUAACUCAGCAAAUAUGGGAAGUCUUCAUGAGAUAUACAUUCAUGCUCUUUAAAUGAAAAAUCUCACUGGGCAUAGUGGGACACACUCAUAAUCACAGCUAAUUGAUAAACUGAGGCAGGAGGAUUGCUUGAGUCCAGGGAUUCUGGGCUAUAGUGUGCCAUGUUGAUCCAGACUUAGUUUGGUAUCAGUAUGCUAACAUCAGUGCACCACCAGUUUUCCCAAGGUAUGGUGAACUGGCUAUGGUCAGGAAAGAAAAGCCUCCAAGCUCAGAAAUAGAGCUUCAUUAAAUUCUAGCUAAAUGAUGAUGAAUAUUCAUUAUUUAUUCCAUGGCCUGUAUGUCCUCUGUUUAAGUCAUUUUCAUUUAUUCCUCGGAACAAAGUAUUAUCCCAUUUUAUAGGCAAGGACAUCAAGGGUUCUGCCAGGUAUUCUCAACAUAUUCAUAACUGACAGACUGGGUAAGCCAGUCCAACCCCAGAGCCCAAACUAUUCAUGCAACCAUGGGGACCAACUGGCCUGCCAUCUUCAAAAGCUUUUACUUUUGUAUUAUUUAAGCAUGAUAGGACAAGCUUCAAUUAAAAGGUAGUUUAUACACAGACUACUUCUACAGUACAGAUCUUUAAUGGGCUUUGUUUAAAUGUAUGCAUUUAAAUGUGCAAGUUAAAAUAUUCACAAGUAACCUGAGUUCAAUAGAUUUGAGUUGAGCCAAAAGAGAGGAUCGUGUAUCAUACUGACUUCCCGUCCUUUAGAGCAGAGCUUCUCUGCCUUCCUAAUGCUGUGGCCCUUUAAAAUAAAACAGUUCCUCGUGUUAUGGUGACCCCAGCCAUAAAAUUAUUCUUGUUGCUACUUCAUAACUGUAAUUUGGUACUAUUUUGAAUUUUAAUGUAAAUGUCUGUGUUCUCUGAUGGUCUUAGGUGACCCCGGUGAAAGGGUCAUUCAACCCUUCAAAGUGGCCACGACCUGCAGGUUUAGAACCACUGUUUUAGAGCAAAUCCUUCAAAAUGCUCUUGACUAUAGAAGGAAACUACAGCUAUCAGGCUUCUGAGUAAACUCACAUGAGAGAGUUCCCUUCAUCUUACCACAGCAAGAGACAGGUUGUACGGGAGGCUGCAGCACAGCACCAGUGAAAGGAAGUUGCGAAAUAAGAAGGAGCAAGUGUAGACAGACAAGGACUCCAACAGCGUGUGAAAGAGUAAACUUUACGCUAAGCCUACAAACACCACAAGUGGGAAAAGUCAGAAAGAUCUGGGAGCUAUUUUUAGCAUAUCAAAACCUCAAACAGGACCUCCACACUGACCCACCAAGCAAUCACACAAGCUAAACUAUCAACCAACUAGUCACACAAAACCAUUUCACCUUCUGUACAAUGGCUCAGUGUAUUCAACUAUACAUACUUAUUUACUUCAAAGGGAGAAAACAAAUUAAUCAUCCAUUGCUGUUUAUCUGGGCCACAAAACACAAAAUGAAACAAAAAAUAAUAAUAGCUGAGAUUCUUGAGAAUAACAGGACUGGAACAGAGGGUUAAAGUAACAGCCAGAGGCAUCACUUAGUAGCCCAAAUAUCAGACUUCAAACCCUAGUAACCAAGGAUCAUGUUAUAGGAAAAUACCGGAAGAAAUCAUAAGUGCUUGAGGAUGGCGUAGGUGAGAUAAAGCAGGCUGCUGAUACUCUGUGAUGACACUGUGACUAAUAGGGAGCAGUGAGGUCAUGGCAAACUCCAUUGACAUGUUCCAAUCAAACAUUUGAAGGCACUAUUCUAGUAGCAUUUAACCCACAGAACACCAGUGACCAGCCCAGAAUGUAUAGUCAUUUUGUUAGCAGGGAACUUGUCUUCAGAGACUGCAGAGUGUCACCUAAACGUGUACACCCUUGCCUUCAAGGGCAGUGUCAACACAAAGAAGCAAGUCUCCUAGUCCCUGCUGAGGGUCAUUCACUGAACAAACUCAGGACUCACACUGAGAAAGCUAGGCUAAGUAAAAGCAAGGCUGGGAAAAGAUCAAUGGCGUAUGAUCCCAGCCUCCUCCUCCUUGGAGUUAUAGAGACAGAGCAGGACAUCCAGACACGGCAGGACACCACAGGGCUUCUGGCCCUCAUAACUGCAGAGGGACAAAGGUCAGCAAAGCCACUCUAGGGUACAGAGUACCUACUCUUUACAUGGCUAACCUCUGUGUGCUGACACCUCUAUGACGGGGUUUCUAGAGUUUGCUUUUUAUAUCUUCAAAGAAACACAUUUCAUAAAAAAAAAAAAAGAAAAUAGACCUCUGAUCAUAACACUCUUAGAAAGUCUUAGCUUGAGAAAAAUUUAAAAGCCCAGCUAUAAAUCUUGCAAAAUGAGAAUUUAUAAUAGGAGUGCAGAGAGAUCUUUAAUUAUGCAGACUGUGGGCCUCGUGUAAUAAAGCCCACGUAUUUGCAGCUUAUGUCAUUGUGUAUAGGGUGCCUCAGAAAGGCUCUGUGUGUGUCUGAAUCAAUGAGUUGAAGUUUUACACAAGGGAAGGAAGUGAAGAGAACACUGCUUGGAGAAGCAGGGAUUUACCUCCUGGGGCUCCAGGCAGUGAAUGAUGGUUCUGACUCUUCCAGUUUGUAUAAAAGGUUGAAGUUCAUUCUGGCGCAGGGAAGCAUUCCACAAGACCCGCUGCCUCUAUGGGCAGGCGAUUAAUCUCAUGAUCGAUAGACCAUAUGAUUAGGCACUAAUAGCUGAUAGGAGGAGAGAAUAAACAACCAUAAAUUUGCUUUGUACCCAGCAAUCCAACUGUAAGCAGGGCCAUUUAAUGGCCACACUGGGUCAUGUUACCUAAGGGCCCAUAUGGAAUAAAAAAUGGAAGACAAAAACAUUUUAAAAGAUCUUCAAUUAUCAAAGGUAGGGGUGGAGGCAGAGGCUCUAUUAGUGCAGUGUUCUUUGGCAUGAGAUGCCCAAGGCUUCCACAUUGGGAGUGAAGAGGGCAGAUGCAGAAGGAGCAACAGCAAAGUCUGUUUGCUGAAACAAUGCUUUAUAAACAGCAUCGCCAGCCACCCUGUGCACAGUGUAAGUGGUGCUGGGUGGUCCAGCUCAUGCCCAGCAGCCACUGGAACCUGUGUCCAUCACGGGCUGAGUGUGCUCUCUGCAGCAGGCAGAGCAGAGGCUGGACUGUGUAAUUUCCUCUUUGCAUGCAGAUCACUGCUCUGUACUCCAGAGCUGUUUCUCAGCGAGCGUGUCAUGAACUUCCAGUGUUGGGAAUAGUUAUGCGACAUAAAAGCCGUGAUGCAGGAGGCCAUAAAUCUCACUCUUUCUUCUUUCCCUUUCCCUGGCUUCUUCCCUUUCUAAGACUCUGACCUCCUCCAUCAGGCCCUUGAAAGAAAGGCAAUCAAUCACCCCCUAGACUAAAAUGAAAACCUGGGUCCUCUCUGCACACUGGACAGCUUUCCCCUUGUGUGAUAAAAAUGGGGAAACAUCUCUAAGAUGGCAAGUCCCCCUCCUAUGUGUUCCUCUUUCCACUCCAUGCAGAGCCUGGAAGCAAAAAGCCUUCAAGCUCUUGUUAUCAAUGACCAUGAAACAGGAAAGGAAGACACUUUGUUAAGCCAAAAGGAAUGUGCUAGAGAAAGUACCAGAUAAAGACAAAGAAGAAUUUGAAGCAGACUUGCACUGUUCUCGGGGCCCACAGCAAAGCACACCAACCUCUGUUCUUUGAAAACUAUCUGGGAAACAACCCACCCCCACCCCUCUCACUACCUCUGAGUACCCCCCCCCAGCCCCCACAUCAUCCCUCCCUCCUCCCCCUUGCCAGCACAGCCUUUGUGACUUCCCAAGCCUUGAGGGACCAACUGUUUCCAGGGCUUCCCUCUGGGCUAAUUGUUCAACACUGCCCAUGACUCUGGAGCCCACAGGAGAAAAAAGGCACUUCAGAUGCCCUAGGGAAGACUGGGGGAAAUUUCUGUUGGAAAUCCAUUCCUUGUUUAUUAUCAUCAACCACAAAGAAGCCUACUGUAAUAAGCAGUUACUACAGCCAAGUGAGAUGAGAAUUCUAAAGUUUGCAGGCAAAAUUCCUUCUCUGUUUACAUUUAUUCAAAAUACUUCCACUCGGCAUAAUUUCGGAGUUGAAAGACAUUUAGCCAGGUGUGCUGGCUCACAAAAAGAUGCCACCAAAGGUCAAACAUGAAGCAUAGUCCAAGGUCCAGGCACUGCUUUGCUAACAUUUCUUGGAGCAACAAGACCAGUUAGUACAAGGCCAUUGCACUAACUGAACCCAAGCAGGGCCACUGUACUAACCCCCCACUGAUCAGGAAGGAUUCCACUGAACCUAAAGCAGCUGGAUGGCCAAGAAAGCCCUUUGGUCUGCUGUGCUGGGCCCGAGGGAACAGGGGCAGAACUCAGGACAGAAAGGGACUUAGGAAAUGAGAGGCUCAGGGAGCAGAGGCUGAGCCCUGGGAGCAGGCCAAGGCCCCAUGUUCUAUCACCCUGACCAUGGCGUUCAUGUUGCCUAGUGGCUUUCCAGUGACUGGUAUCAACUUCUGGCCAUCUCUGAAACACUCAGAAAGCAGAGCGCAGACUCUCAACUCCCUUUGUACCGUAGGUUAAUUUCUCCCCAAGGGGAAAGAGAAAUUUUCCUUUGAAGACGUAUGGAGGAGUCUAAAUCGAACCAGAGAAGCCCCUGACCUUCAGUGGUUGCCUAAAAGCUGCUGUACCCUAUGACAGUAUCACUGCAGCAAUGAUAAAAUGAUAACUAACAUACACUCUACAUCAGGUAGAGACUGGGCAUAUGUAAAAUAAUUUCUAACUGCCAAACCACCCUAAAAAUUAAUAGUACAUUCCCACCCCCAACUAUACAUAUUCGAAAGCUACAGAGGGGAAGGUAAGUAACCUCCCAGCAUCAAAUUGUCAUCACCAGAAGACUGAAAACCUGGUCCAGCCUACUUCAAGAAAAGGAUAACAGAGGUUCGGCUAGUUUUUGCUGUCUUCCAUACCACCUUGUUGGUUUCGGAGUGAACCUGUUUGCUGCCUAUGAAUUUGGCUGGCUAGCCCUUCCUCUGCCUUAUAUUUUUCUAAGCAUUUCCCAUGGAUAACAGAGCUUAUACCAGUAAGAAGCCAGGUACCAGAUGAAUCUAGUUUUACCAAGUGCCAAGUGGAGACCGAGGUGAAGCACGUCCAGCCACAAAGGAAGAGAGCAGCAGUGAGACACUAGAGGUUGAUUUGUGAUUGUUAGAAGGCAAAAAGAGGAAGGAACCUCCUUUUUCAUCCACAGAAACUAUUUCCUGAGACCCUACCACAUCUUCCUACUAUAUCCUACUAUCUAGCCAUACCUUCCUAAACUCAAUUAGAAAGGGAACAGUGGGGCCUCCCUUUUAUUUCUUGCCUAAGUAGGAAAUGUAGGAUAAUGUACACGGAAGGAAGGUAACUUUCCCAGAGAGCUCCUUCACCUGAGAUUCAGCUCAGUGUAUUCUAUACACAGAGGGAACCUGCAGCUGACUUUCUUUUCCAAGUUACUGGGAAACUGUGCUUUUUCCAUUUCCAAAUAAAAAGUGCACUACAAUUAUGAGAUGCAUAUAUAAAUGAUGAAGAUAACCCACACUCUCCAAAAAGGUCUAGAAACAUCAAUUUUGUAUCACAGUUAGUAACUUCCUGUAGCUUCCCAAAGUUCAUACAGCAGGCCUUCAAGAAGACCCCCACCAUAACACCCCCUGAACACUCUCCCACCAGGUGCUAAGUAAAAAAAAAAAAAAA